UACGAAGGGGGCUAGCGUUGUUCGGAAUUACUGGGCGUAAAGCGCGCGCAGGCGGUCUUUUAAGUCGGUGGUGAAAUCCUGGAGCUCAACUCCAGAAUUGCCUUCGAUACUGAGAGUCUCGAGUCCGGGAGAGGUGAGUGGAACUGCGAGUGUAGAGGUGAAAUUCGUAGAUAUUCGCAAGAACACCAGUGGCGAAGGCGGCUCACUGGCCCGGUACUGACGCUGAGGUGCGAAAGCGUGGGGAGCAAACAGG
rnacentral:rRNA from 1 species